rnacentral:rRNA from 1 species
UACGGAGGGUGCAAGCGUUGUCCGGAAUCACUGGGCGUAAAGGGCGCGUAGGCGGCUCAUGAAGGCUGUGGUGAAAGUCCGGGGCUCAACCUCGGAUCGGCCGUGGCGACUCGUGGGCUGGAGCACUGUAGAGGCGGGUGGAAUUCCGGGUGUAGCGGUGGAAUGCGUAGAGAUCCGGAAGAACACCAGUGGCGAAGGCGGGUCUCUGGGCAGUAACUGACGCUGAGGAGCGAAAGCGUGGGGAGCAAACAGG